rnacentral:rRNA from 1 species
UACAGAGGGGGCAAGCGUUAUUCGGAAUUAUUGGGCGUAAAGGCGCGUAGGCGGCCGUGCAAGUGGAAGGUGAAAUCCCUCGGCUCAACCGAGGAACUGCCUUUCAAACUGCAUGGCUUGAGUCCGGGAGAGGUGAGUGGAAUUCCCAGUGUAGCGGUGAAAUGCGUAGAUAUUGGGAGGAACACCAGUGGCGAAGGCGGCUCACUGGACCGGUACUGACGCUGAGGUGCGAAAGCGUGGGGAGCAAACAGG